rnacentral:lncRNA from 1 species
UUGUUGCUCUUGCUAAAAAUGUAGCUAAAAUUUAGAUUUUUUUAAAAUGGKAUUUUUGGCAGAGAUCAAGUAUAGAAAAGUUAAACAAAACAGAUUUUUUAAAGAGCAUUAUGGGCCUUGAAAUCAAGGUCUUCAGAUGAUUGAAGCUGUUUACAAAAUCAGUGAGAGAUAUCAUAUGUGCAUUUACAGUUCUCUAAGCUGUAUCAUUAAACAAGUGUAAGUUAACUAACCUUCAGUCCACUGUUGUUUGUUUUUAAUCACAGCUGAGGAGCUGUUUAAGAAAACUCUUGGGAAAAGCAAACCAUUUCUUGAAGAGGGGAACAGGGAGUCCAAGAGCUAUCCGGUCUUGAAUAUGUCAGUGUGCCCUGAAUGUGCAGUCACAUUCUGAGAGACAUUCCAUAAGCGGAUAUCUUUUUAUACUACUUGAGGCACAGUGUCUGACAGAGAUUACUGUAUAACCUGAAGUAUCGGUGUAAAAAGCAAGAAUGUAUACAUGGGAUUUCAUCCAGAGCACUCAGCCAAAAGAAAUACUGAACCACUGCUAAAUCAUCCUAAUGAGAUGUGGAACAUCUUCCAGACAGCUUGGCCAGGAGCUUUUGAAACAUCUGCUGUUCUCUCUUCUCCCAUCUUCACCUUCCUGUCAUCCAGCCUGUGAUGGGUAUAAUGAUGGGGAAGCAAAAGCGGGUAACUCCUGAGUAUUGUCACUGUUUUGUUUUGAGUAGGAGCUGGAUUUUUUGUUUGUUUUGCAUUUGCUUUUGUGAGUAGUGAAAGAAAAGGGCAUAAAUAUAGCUGUGUGUGUGUUUGUUCAAAUACAGUAGAUGUGCGUAGGAAACUGCCASUAGGUAGGAAAGAAGCUCUGGUGGGUAACAGACCUUCAAAAGGAUUCGGGGGAUUCCAGCCAAGGUGCAUUCAACACAUCCUGGGGCAGCGCGGGGCACACCAAAAACAACUAUACCUUUUGAGGGCUCUCAAAUCUUGGCUUKCUGAGAGACAGUUCAUUACUGGUAUAAUUUAAGACAUUUGCACAUGCAGCCUACUAAGAGUGCCUGGAGGGUUGUUCCAUCAGCCACGUGUUGCUGGAGUCCAUCAAGCUGAGCCCAUGCCUUUUCUUUGUUUUGAAAUGCCACCUGCCGUCUCAGCUCUCUGCUAAUCGAGGAUUGUCCUUCUGGAAAAACCUUCAGAAGAUCAUUUACGGCAAUGUGUUAGACCCAUAGGAACAGAGCGAGGGGCCCUCCCUACUGUAUGCUAGAUCCUUUUCCUUAGUCUACAACACACAGUCUCAGUCUCAACAGAACUGGUUUGCUCAUACACAUUAUGUCAAUGAAUCAUUCUGGCUAGAUUUGCUUUUUUUUAUUUUUUUUCUCUCCCCUAAAACUUUAGAAGAUAUUUCACUGAGCAAUAUGUACAACUAAAAGGCCUUUAAGGAAUUUUCAG